rnacentral:rRNA from 1 species
GAUGAACGCUGGGGGCGUGCCUAAUACAUGCAAGUCGAGCGAAUGGAUUAAGAGCUUGCUCUUAUGAAGUUAGCGGCGGACGGGUGAGUAACACGUGGGUAACCUGCCCAUAAGACUGGGAUAACUCCGGGAAACCGGGGCUAAUACCGGAUAACGUUUUGAACCGCAUGGUUCGAAAUUGAAAGGCGGCUUCGGCUGUCACUUAUGGAUGGACCCGCGUCGCAUUAGCUAGUUGGUGAGGUAACGGCUCACCAAGGCAACGAUGCGUAGCCGACCUGAGAGGGUGAUCGGCCACACUGGGACGGAGACACGGCCCAGACGCCGACGGGAGGAAGCAGUAGGGAAUCCUCCGCAAUGGACGAAAGUCUGACGGAGCAACGCCGCGUGAGUGAUGAAGGCUUUCGGGUCGUAAAACUCUGUUGUUAGGGAAGAACAAGUGCUAGUUGAAUAAGCUGGCACCUUGACGGUACCUAACCAGAAAGCCACGGCUAACUACGUGCCAGCCGCCGCCGUAA